GACGAACCGUGCGACCGUUGUUCGGAUUCACUGGGCUUAAAGGGCGCGUAGGCGGUCGACCAAGUCUGGGGUGAAAUCUUUCGGCUUAACCGGAAAAGUGCCCCCGAUACUGGCCGGCUAGAGGGAGAUAGGGGCAUGUGGAACUUCCGGUGGAGCGGUGAAAUGCGUAGAUAUCGGAAGGAACGCCGGUGGCGAAAGCGACGUGCUGGAUCUCUUCUGACGCUGAGGCGCGACAGCAUGGGGAGCAAACGGG
rnacentral:rRNA from 1 species